GACUUUGUAUAUUAUGAUUUAUUUUGAGAUCAUAAUAAACAUGAUUUCAAUUUGAUUUAGAAUUACAAUUGAACAAGUCAAAAUUAAAACUAGAAUCGGUUAAUACAAUUAUUAAAACCAAAUCGAACCAAACAGAAUUCGUGAUAGUAUAGAGUUGACCCUAAUUUGUGGCUCACUUAAUUAUGAAAAGCAUCAAACCUAAAUACAAGAUUUGACUUGGUUCAGUCUAAUUCAAAUCACAAUUUAAAAAAGAAAAACGUGACACCCUGAAAAUCACUAUGGGGUGCUCAGGACCGAAUCAGAUUUAUCUUUAAAUUGACUCAAAAUCCCUCAAAACCGAAAUUAUGAUUUAAUGUCGUUUUGAUGGAUUGACUGAAGAACGUCCUCGAAGGGAAACAAGGAAGAAU
rnacentral:misc_RNA from 1 species